rnacentral:rRNA from 1 species
CUUAACAUGCAAUUCGACGACAGCGGGACUGCUCCCGACGUACGCGGACGGGUUGAGUUACACGUGGGUAAUCUACCUAUAAGACCUGGAUAACUCCCGGGGAAACCCGGGGCUUAAUGCCNGGAUAAACAUGUUGGACCGCAUGGUCCUACAGUGAAAGACGGUCUUUCUGUCACUUAUAGAUGGACCCGCGCCGUAUUAGCUANUUGGUAAGGUAACGGCUUACCAAGGCAACGAUACGUAGCCGACCUGAGAGGGUGAUCGGCCACACUGGAACUGAGACACGGUCCAGACUCCUACGGGAGGCAGCAGUAGGGAAUCUUCCGCAAUGGGCGAAAGCCUGACGGAGCAACGCCGCGUGAGUGAUGAAGGCCUUCGGGUCGUAAAACUCUGUUAUUAGGGAAGAACAAAUGUGUAAGUAACUAUGCACGUCUUGACGGUACCUAAUCAGAAAGCCACGGCUAACUACAUGCCAGCAGCCGCGGUAAUACGUAGGUGGCAAGCGUUAUCCGGAAUUAUUGGGCGUAAAGCGCGCGUAGGCGGUUUCUUAAGUCUGAUGUGAAAGCCCACGGCUCAACCGUGGAGGGUCAUUGGAAACUGGGAAACUUGAGUGCAGGAGAGGAAAGUGGAAUUCCAUGUGUAGAGGUGAAAUUCGUAGAUAUUUGUAGGAAUGCCGAUGGGGAAGCCAGCCUACUGGACAGAUACUGACGCUAAAGCGCGAAAGCGUGGGUGGCAAACAGGAUUAGAUACCCUGGUAGUCCACGCCGUAAACGAUGAUUACUAGGUGUUGGGGGUCGAACCUCAGCGCCCAAGCUAACGCGAUAAGUAAUCCGCCUGGGGAGUACGUACGCAAGUAUG